CUUACAAAAAGUAAGGUUACAUUU
rnacentral:snRNA from 1 species